rnacentral:rRNA from 1 species
GUGGGGAAUCUUAGACAAUGGGGGCAACCCUGAUCUAGCCAUGCCGCGUGAGUGAUGAAGGCCUUAGGGUUGUAAAGCUCUUUCAGCUGGGAAGAUAAUGACGGUACCAGCAGAAGAAGCCCCGGCUAACUCCGUGCCAGCAGCCGCGGUAAUACGGAGGGGGCUAGCGUUGUUCGGAAUUACUGGGCGUAAAGCGCACGUAGGCGGACCAGAAAGUUGGGGGUGAAAUCCCGGGGCUCAACCCCGGAACUGCCUUCAAAACUAUUGGUCUGGAGUUCGAGAGAGGUGAGUGGAAUACCGAGUGUAGAGGUGAAAUUCGUAGAUAUUCGGUGGAACACCAGUGGCGAAGGCGGCUCACUGGCUCGAUACUGACGCUGAGGUGCGAAAGCGUGGGGAGCAAACAGGAUUAGAAACCCUAGUAGUCC